rnacentral:lncRNA from 1 species
GGCUAGUGUUUCCAGAGUAUGUUCUGACAAUACCUAGUUUUAUGGGCUGUCAGUAGCUGUCAAUGGUGCAAUCUGAAAGGUCAAUUCUAGUGACAAAUCUUAAAGUAAUUUUCACAAGCCUUUAAUGUGCUAAUGUGUUUUGUGAUUCUUUACAAACAAUAUCUUCCCAAAUCAUCUGAGUGUUUUCUCCCUGAGCAUUUCAUGAAAUUAUUGCUCCACAGAACAUAUGGCCUUAGAAGACCAGGUCUCUCUCCCUCCCUCCCUGCCUCCCUCCCUCCCUCCCUUCCUUUCUUCCUUCCUUCCUUCCUUCCUUCCUUCCUUCCUUCCCUCCCUCCGUUCCUUCCUUUUUUCCUUCCCCCCACCUCUCUCUCUCUUUCUGAUCUAUCUUAUCUCUUCUUUUCUUUUCUUUCCUUCCUUCCUUCCUUCCUUCCUUCCUUCCUUCCUUCCUUCCUUCCUUUCUUCCUUCCUUUCUUUCUUUCUUUCUUUCUUUCUUUCUUUCUUUCUUUCUUUCUUUCUUUCUUUCUUUCUUUCUUUCUUUCUUUUCUUUUCUUUCUCUUUCUUUCUUUCUUUCUUUCUUUCUCUCUUUUCUCUCUCUCUCUCUCUCUCUCUCUCUUUCUUUCUAGACAAGGCCUUGCUCUGUCACCUAGGCUGAAGUGUAGUGGUGUGAUCAAGGCUCUCUGCGGCCUACACAUCCUGGGCUCAAGCAAUCUUCUCUCUUUAGCCUCCCGAGUAACUGGAACUACAGGAGUGCCACCAUGUCUGGCACUUUGGGAGGCUGAGGUGGGAGGAUUGCUUAAGACCAGGAGUUCAAGACCAGUCUGGGCAACAUAGUGAGACCCCCAUCUCUACAGGAAAAAAAAAAAUUAGCUGGGUGUGGUGGCCUUGGCCUUACAAAAUGCUGGGAUUCCAGGCAUGAACCACCCUGCCCACCCAGGUCCUCUGUUUCUUUGUAAUAUUGCUAAUCUACUGUAAGCAAUCCCAAUAUGUUUUCUAAUUGCUACUCAAGUAGUUGGGUGAUUCUGAUCAUUUCACAAGGGAUCCAGAAAUAG